rnacentral:sRNA from 1 species
GCGGAGGAAAAGAAACCAACAGGGAUUGCCCUAGUAACGGCGAGUGAAGCGGCAACAGCUCAAAUUUGAAAUCUGGCCUUCGGGUCCGAGUUGUAAUUUGUAGAGGAUGCUUUUGGUGCGGUGCCUUCCGAGUUCCUUGGAACAGGACGCCUUAGAGGGUGAGAGCCCCGUACGGUUGGACACCAAGCCUUUGUAAAGCUCCUUCGACGAGUCGAGUAGUUUGGGAAUGCUGCUCUAAAUGGGAGGUAAAUUUCUUCUAAAGCUAAAUACCGGCCAGAGACCGAUAGCGCACAAGUAGAGUGAUCGAAAGAUGAAAAGUACUUUGAAAAGAGGGUUAAAUAGCACGUGAAAUUGUUGAAAGGGAAGCGUUUAUGACCAGACCUUUGUCAGGCGGAUCAUCCGGUGUUCUUCACCGGUGCACUUCGCCUGGCUUAGGCCAGCAUCGAUUUCUGUAGGGGGACAAAGACCAUGGGAACGUAGCUCUCUUCGGGGAGUGUUAUAGCCCUAGGUGUAAUACCCUUACGGGGAUCGAGGUUCGCGCUUCUGCAAGGAUGCUGGCGUAAUGGUCAUCAAUGACCCGUCUUGAAACACGGACCAAGGAGUCGAACAUUUAUGCGAGUGUUUGGGUGUUAAACCCUCACGCGUAAUGAAAGUGAACGGAGGUGAGAGCCUUUUAUUAGGUGCAUCAUCGACCGAUCCUGAUGUAUUCGGAAGGAUUUGAGUAAGAGCAUAACUGUUCGGACCCGAAAGAUGGUGAACUAUGCGUGGAUAGGGUGAAGCCAGAGGAAACUCUGGUGGAGGCUCGCAGCGGUUCUGACGUGCAAAUCGAUCGUCAAAUCUGCGCAUGGGGGCGAAAGUAAGUUUAUAUAUUCCCUUGACUUUUGUUAACUCUUUUAAUGCAACCGCAUCGCUAACUGGUAUUUUCUCAACAGGACUUAUCGAACCAUCUAGUAGCUGGUACCGC